AAAUAUUUAUCAAAUUGUAGUCUCGACCAGUUAGACCUGGGGAUUUUAUAUUCUCCUUUUACUUAAAGGGGAGUUUCUAAAGUAUAUACUACAAUUUCAGAAAACAUGACACAGACGGACAAGAGAAAGCCUUUCUAAAAUGAAUCUAAUAACAAAAUUUAAAUGACUUGGAAAGUAUACAAAAUUCGAAACACAUUUGAUGUUUACAGAUGAUUCGAACUUUGAGUCUUCAUUUAAAUUUAUUCAAUAUUUUCUCACUUUAUAUCAAUCGUCGUAGACUAUUUAUAUGUUGGGAUUAUUCAUCUGGUUUCUUUGAUAAUUUGUAGUUGUCUAACAGAAUUUUAAUUGAAUUCUUACAUCUUCCACAUGGUGUGUGGGAGUGUUAAUUUUUUCAAAUAAAAAUUUGCCAAAACAAGCAGCGGAUAAUGUUACGUUGUUUGUUUUGGCAUUUUUAGGCCUGAUGAAAUUCAAAUUGGCUCAGACAUGAUGAUUUAUUUCUUUCGUUUAUUUUAAAAUAAAUCAAACUGGAAAGUACUGUACAAAGAAAACAAAAUACUACAGACACUUAUAUUUAUAUGUAUAUACAGUAAAUCAGAUCAUGAAUAAGAUAUAUUGAAAAGUAUGUGCAAGAAAAUGUUUUUCGUGAUCCAAAAAAAAAAAACAUUUUCACGAGUAAGGAAACUUCAAACGCGUAUGAUGUACAUGCAAUACAUAAAUCGAUUGGAUUUCUAUUUGGAAUUCUAGGAUAAUGAAUUACUUUGGUCAGCAGUCAAAAGAAUUGCGAGAAUGCCCGACAUAAUCUACGAAGAAAAUAAAGGAUGCUAUGUUUAAUAUUUAAUAUGGGGUGCAAAGCUAGUUCGCCUCCUCGUGGUGCACCCUGGGUAACGCUAAAGAACUAGCACUAAGACUUCAAACAGGUUUGGAUGCCAAAGGAAAACUGAUUAAAUAAA
rnacentral:lncRNA from 1 species